rnacentral:rRNA from 1 species
GCGUAUGAAAGUACGUUUCUACCUCGGGUGACAGGGAGACAGGUGGUGCAUGGUGUCGUCAGCUCGUGUCGUGAGAUGUUGGGUUAAGUCCCGCAACGAGCGCAACCCCUACGUUUAGUUGCUAACGCGUGAAGGCGAGCACUCUAGACGAACUGCCGUUGACAAAACGGAGGAAGUGGGAUGACGUCAAUCAUCAUGCCCUUAUGUUCUGGGCUACACACGUGCUACAAUGGCCGGUACAGACGGACGCAAAGCCGCGGGGUGGAGCAAAUCCUAAAAAGCCGGUCUCAGUUCGGAUUGCAGGCUGCAAUUCGCCUGCAUGAAGUCGGAAUCGCUAGUAAUCGCAGGUCAGCAUACUGCGGUGAAUACGUUCCCGGGCCUU